AACGAACGCUGGCGGCAUGCCUAACACAUGCAAGUCGAACGAGACCUUCGGGUCUAGUGGCGCACGGGUGCGUAACGCGUGGGAACCUGCCCUUAGGUUCGGAAUAACUCCCCGAAAGGGGUGCUAAUACCGGAUAAUGUCUUCGGACCAAAGAUUUAUCGCCUUUGGAUGGGCCCGCGUUGGAUUAGCUAGUUGGUAGGGUAAAAGCCUACCAAGGCGACGAUCCAUAGCUGGUCUGAGAGGAUGAUCAGCCACACUGGGACUGAGACACGGCCCAGACUCCUACGGGAGGCAGCAGUGGGGAAUAUUGGACAAUGGGCGAAAGCCUGAUCCAGCAAUGCCGCGUGAGUGAUGAAGGCCUUGGGGUUGUAAAGCUCUUUUACCCGGGAUGAUAAUGACAGUACCGGGAGAAUAAGCUCCGGCUAACUCCGU
rnacentral:rRNA from 1 species